rnacentral:tRNA from 1 species
UAGCUCAGUUGGUUUAGAGCACCUCGUUUACACCGAGGGGGUCGGGGGUUCGAAUCCCUC